rnacentral:rRNA from 1 species
GACAGAGGAUGCAAGCGUUGUCCGGAAUUAUUGGGCGUAAAGAGCUCGUAGGCGGUUUGUCGCGUCUGCCGUGAAAGUCCGGGGCUCAACUCCGGAUCUGCGGUGGGUACGGGCAGACUAGAGUGAUGUAGGGGAGACUGGAAUUCCUGGUGUAGCGGUGAAAUGCGCAGAUAUCAGGAGGAACACCGAUGGCGAAGGCAGGUCUCUGGGCAUUAACUGACGCUGAGGAGCGAAAGCAUGGGGAGCGAACAGG